UGGUGCCAGCAGCCGCGGUAAUUCCAGCUCCAAUAGCGUAUAUUAAAGUUGUUGCAGUUAAAAAGCUCGUAGUUGAAUUUCGGGAUCAAUGUUUCGGUCAUGCCGUUGGUAUGUACUGAUAUUAUUGAUUUCUCACCUUCUAAAGAACCGUAAUGCCAUUAAUUUGGUGUCACGGGGAAUUAGGACUGUUACCUUGAAAAAAUUAGAGUGUUUAAAGCAGGCUCACGCUUGAAUACAUUAGCAUGGAAUAAUGAAAUAGGACAUCCGAUUCUAUUUUGUUGGUUUCUAGGAUCGAUGUAAUGAUUAAUAGGGAUAGUUGGGGGCAUUAGUAUUCAAUUGUCAGAGGUGAAAUUCUUGGAUUUAUUGAAGACUAACUACUGCGAAAGCAUUUGCCAAGGAUGUUUUCAUUAAUCAAGAACGAAAGUUAGGGGAUCGAAGACGAUCAGAUACCGUCGUAGUCUUAACCAUAAACUAUGCCGACUAGGGA
rnacentral:rRNA from 1 species